rnacentral:rRNA from 1 species
UACUCGAGUGGCGAACGGGUGAGUAACACGUGGGUGAUCUGCCCUGCACUCUGGGAUAAGCCUGGGAAACUGGGUCUAAUACCGGAUAGGACCAUGCUUUAGUGUGUGUGGUGGAAGGUUUUUUCGGUGUAGGAUGAGCCCGCGGCCUAUCAGCUUGUUGGUGGGGUAAUGGCCUACCAAGGCGGCGACGGGUAGCCGGACUGAGAGGUUGGUCGGCCACAUUGGGACUGAGAUACGGCCCAG